UACGUAGGGUGCAAGCGUUAAUCGGAAUUACUGGGCGUAAAGCGUGCGCAGGCGGUUUUGUAAGUCUGACGUGAAAUCCCCGGGCUUAACCUGGGAAUUGCGUUGGAGACUGCAAGGCUGGAGUCUGGCAGAGGGGGGGUAGAAUUCCACGUGUAGCAGUGAAAUGCGUAGAGAUGUGGAGGAACACCGGAUGGCGAAGGCAGCCCCCCUGGGUCAAGACUGAC
rnacentral:rRNA from 1 species